rnacentral:rRNA from 1 species
AUUGAACGCUGGCGGCAGGCUUAACACAUGCAAGUCGAGCGGAGAUGAGGUGCUUGCACCUUAUCUUAGCGGCGGACGGGUGAGUAAUGCUUAGGAAUCUGCCUAUUAGUGGGGGACAACAUUCCGAAAGGAAUGCUAAUACCGCAUACGCCCUAAGGCGGAAAGCAGGGGAUCUUCGGACCUUGCGCUAAUAGAUGAGCCUAAGUCGGAUUAGCUAGUUGGUGGGGUAAAGGCCUACCAAGGGGACGAUCUGUAGCGGGUCUGAGAGGAUGAUCCGCCACACUGGGACUGAGACACGGCCCAGACUCCUACGGGAGGCAGCAGUGGGGAAUAUUGGACAAUGGGGGGAACCCUGAUCCAGCCAUGCCGCGUGUGUGAAGAAGGCCUUUUGGUUGUAAAGCACUUUAAGCGAGGAGGAGGCUCUCUUAGUUAAUACCUAGGAAGAGUGGACGUUACUCGCAGAAUAAGCACCGGCUAACUCUGUGCCAGCCGCCGCGGUAACAC